UACGAAGGGGGCUAGCGUUGCUCGGAAUCACUGGGCGUAAAGCGCACGUAGGCGGCUUGUUAAGUCAGGUGUGAAAUCCUGGAGCUCAACUCCAGAACUGCCUUUGAUACUGGCGAGCUUGAGUUCGGGAGAGGUGAGUGGAACUGCGAGUGUAGAGGUGAAAUUCGUAGAUAUUCGCAAGAACACCAGUGGCGAAGGCGGCUCACUGGCCCGGUACUGACGCUGAGGUGCGAAAGCGUGGGGAGCAAACAGG
rnacentral:rRNA from 1 species